GACGAACGCUGGCGGCGUGCUUAACACAUGCAAGUCGAACGGAAAGGCCCUGCUUUUGUGGGGUGCUCGAGCGGCGAACGGGUGAGUAACACGUGAGUAACCUGCCCUUGACUUUGGGAUAACUUCAGGAAACUGGGGCUAAUACCGGAUAGGAGCUCCUGCUGCAUGGUGGGGGUUGGAAAGUUUCGGCGGUUGGGGAUGGACUCGCGGCUUAUCAGCUUGUUGGUGGGGUAGUGGCUUACCAAGGCUUUGACGGGUAGCCGGCCUGAGGGGGUGACCGGCCACAUUGGGACUGAGAUACGGCCCAGACUCCUACGGGAGGCAGCAGUGGGGAAUAUUGCACAAUGGGCGGAAGCCUGAUGCAGCAACGCCGCGUGCGGGAUGACGGCCUUCGGGUUGUAAACCGCUUUCGCCUGUGACGAAGCGUGAGUGACGGUAAUGGGUAAAGAAGUACCGGCUAACUACGUG
rnacentral:rRNA from 1 species